rnacentral:tRNA from 6 species
UGCUAGGAAAAGGGGUUUAACCUUUAUUUAAGCGUUU